UCCAGACUCCUACGGGAGGCAGCAGUGAGGAAUAUUGGUCAAUGGCCGCAGGGCUGAACCAGCCAAGUCGCGUGAGGGAUGACGGUCCUAUGGAUUGUAAACCUCUUUUGUCAGGGAGCAAAGGGCGCCACGUGUGGCGUUUUGCGAGUACCUGAAGAAAAAGCAUCGGCUAACUCCGUGCCAGCAGCCGCGGUAAUACGGAGGAUGCGAGCGUUAUCCGGAUUUAUUGGGUUUAAAGGGUGCGCAGGCGGAAUGUCAAGUCAGCGGUAAAAUUUCGGGGCUCAACCCCGUCGUGCCGUUGAAACUGGUGUUCUUGAGUGAGCGAGAAGUAUGCGGAAUGCGUGGUGUAGCGGUGAAAUGCAUAGAUAUCACGCAGAACCCCGAUUGCGAAGGCAGCAUGCCGGCUUCCGACUGACGCUGAAGCACGAAAGCGUGGGGAUCGAACAGGAUUAGAUACCCCAGUACG
rnacentral:rRNA from 1 species